rnacentral:lncRNA from 1 species
UCAUUUGUCUUGGAUGAUUUUGGAGAGAAUUUCAAGGGGGAUUUUAUCAAGCAUCAAAGGUGAGUUAUUUCUACUUAUUUUCAAGUUAAAUACAAGAUUAUAUGUGAAUUAGAACAUGAAAAUUAGUAGAAAAGUGGGGUUUUAGGGCUUGUGCUUUUGAGAUUUUCUAGGGUCAAUUUGAAGGGUCAAACGAGCUCCGAUUUUUGUGUUCUUUAUAUGUACGGACUCGUGAGAGGACGAAGAACAUCUUGGUAUAAAAAUUUCUGAGUUUUGAGACAUGGGCCCGGGACUCGGGUUUUGUCAAAUUCGUGAAUUUUGAUAUUUUUCGAUUGCUUUCGAUUGAGUAUUGUCCCUUUAGCAUAAUGCGACAUAUUCGUUGUGAUUUUGGGCAGAUUCGAUGCACAUGGAGGCCAAUUCGAGGGGCAAAGGCAUCGCGAGCUAAAGAAGUAGCCGGUUUGAGGUGAGUAAUUUAUGUAAAUGAUGUCCUGAGAGUUUGAAACCCCGGAAUUUCACAUUGUAACGCUAUAUUGAGGUGAGUUGCACGCCGG